CGAGGACCAUGUCUGGUGGGUAGUUUGACUGGGGCGGUCUCCUCCUAAAGAGUAACGGAGGAGUACGAAGGUGCGCUCAGCGUGGUCGGAAAUCACGCGUAGAGUAUAAAGGCAAAAGCGCGCUUAACUGCGAGACCCACAAGUCGAGCAGGUACGAAAGUAGGUCUUAGUGAUCCGGUGGUUCUGUAUGGAAGGGCCAUCGCUCAACGGAUAAAAGGUACUCUGGGGAUAACAGGCUGAUACCGCCCAAGAGUUCAUAUCGACGGCGGUGUUUGGCACCUCGAUGUCGGCUCAUCUCAUCCUGGGGCUGAAGCAGGUCCCAAGGGUAUGGCUGUUCGCCAUUUAAAGAGGUACGCGAGCUGGGUUUAGAACGUCGUGAGACAGUUCGGUCCCUAUCUACCGUGGGCGCUGGAAAUUUGAGAGGAUCUGCUCCUAGUACGAGAGGACCAGAGUGGACGAACCUCUGGUGUACCGGUUGUGACGCCAGUCGCAUCGCCGGGUAGCUAUGUUCGGAAGGGAUAACCGCUGAAAGCAUCUAAGCGGGAAGCCUACCUCAAGAUAAGAUUUCCCCGAGGCUUUAUGCCUCCUAAAGAGCCGUUGAAGACUACGACGUUGAUAGGUUGGAUGUGGAAGCAUAGCGAUAUGUGAAGCUGACCAAUACUAAUUGCUCGUGAGGCUUGACUAUACAACACCCAAACAGUUG
rnacentral:rRNA from 1 species